CCUGGCUCAGGAUGAACGCUAGCUACAGGCUUAACACAUGCAAGUCGAGGGGCAGCAUUUCAGUUUGCUUGCAAACUGGAGAUGGCGACCGGCGCACGGGUGAGUAACACGUAUCCAACCUGCCGAUAACUCGGGGAUAGCCUUUCGAAAGAAAGAUUAAUACCCGAUGGCAUAAUUAGACCGCAUGGUCUUAUUAUUAAAGAAUUUCGGUUAUCGAUGGGGAUGCGUUCCAUUAGGCAGUUGGUGAGGUAACGGCUCACCAAACCUUCGAUGGAUAGGGGUUCUGAGAGGAAGGUCCCCCACAUUGGAACUGAGACACGGUCCAAACUCCUACGGGAGGCAGCAGUGAGGAAUAUUGUCAAUGGACGAGAGUCUGAACCAGCCCAGUAGCGUGAAGGAUGACUGCCCUAUGGGUUGUAAACUUCUUUUUUAUGGGAAUAAAGUUUUCCACGUGUGGAAUUUUGUAUGUACCAUAUGAAUAAGGAUCGGCUAACUCCGUGCCAGCAGCCGCGGUAAUACGGAGGAUCCGAGCGUUAUCCGGAUUUAUUGGGUUUAAAGGGAGCGUAGGUGGACAGUUAAGUCAGUUGUGAAAGUUUGCGGCUCAACCGUAAAAUUGCAGUUGAUACUGGCUGUCUUGAGUACAGUAGAGGUGGGCGGAAUUCGUGGUGUAGCGGUGAAAUGCUUAGAUAUCACGAAGAACUCCGAUUGCGAAGGCAGCUCACUGGACUGCAACUGACACUGAUGCUCGAAAGUGUGGGUAUCAAACAGGAUUAGAUACCCUGGUAGUCCACACAGUAAACGAUGAAUACUCGCUGUUUGCGAUAUACAGUAAGCGGCCAAGCGAAAGCAUUAAGUAUUCCACCUGGGGAGUACGCCGGCAACGGUGAAACUCAAAGGAAUUGACGGGGGCCCGCACAAGCGGAGGAACAUGUGGUUUAAUUCGAUGAUACGCGAGGAACCUUACCCGGGCUUAAAUUGCAAAUGAAUAAUCUGGAAACAGGUUAGCCGCAAGGCAUUUGUGAAGGUGCUGCAUGGUUGUCGUCAGCUCGUGCCGUGAGGUGUCGGCUUAAGUGCCAUAACGAGCGCAACCCUUAUCUUUAGUUACUAACAGGUCAUGCUGAGGACUCUAGAGAGACUGCCGUCGUAAGAUGUGAGGAAGGUGGGGAUGACGUCAAAUCAGCACGGCCCUUACGUCCGGGGCUACACACGUGUUACAAUGGGGGGUACAGAAGGCAGCUACCUGGUGACAGGAUGCUAAUCCCAAAAGCCUCUCUCAGUUCGGAUCGAAGUCUGCAACCCGACUUCGUGAAGCUGGAUUCGCUAGUAAUCGCGCAUCAGCCAUGGCGCGGUGAAUACGUUCCCGGGCCUUGUACACACCGCCCG
rnacentral:rRNA from 1 species